UACGUAGGGGGCUAGCGUUGUCCGGAAUCAUUGGGCGUAAAGCGCGUGUAGGCGGUCCGGUAAGUCCGCUGUGAAAGUCGGGGGCUCAACCCUCGAAUGCCGGUGGAUACUGUCGGGCUAGAGUACGGAAGAGGCGAGUGGAAUUCCUGGUGUAGCGGUGAAAUGCGCAGAUAUCAGGAGGAACACCGGUGGCGAAGGCGGAUCUCUGGGCCUUACCUGACGCUCAGGCGCGAAAGCUAGGGGAGCGAACUGG
rnacentral:rRNA from 1 species